GACAAUGGAAAUACUAAUUUAAAAUAAAUAGUCUGGAUACAAAUCAGAAAUACUUUGUGAUUUUAGAUGUGUGGCUUAGAUAUGUUAGCUAGCUAACUAGAUAACCUACCCAGUGCUGUGAUAGAUAAAUUCAUACCAGCUGAACACACACUAACACACACCACCAAAACCAAGUCAGUCUUACUGCAGCGCUGAGAAAGAUUCACCACCCAAAUAAAAGCUGCUCUGUGGUGGUCCUGUGGGGUCCUGACCAUCGAAGACGAAGAACACAGUGAAAGACAGCUAGCUAACACAGAGUAUGCAGAGAAGACUACAAUCUGUAGAACUACAAAGUGUCCCAGAUCCACAGCACAGGAUAAGAGCAAGAGAAUGAUAGAGAGAGCUCCUCUUUGAGCUUCCAGACGGCAUCAUCCCUCAAGUCCAACAGAAUCCAGAAAUCCCAACUCUUCUCUGUCCUGAAAAAUACCUACGAGUUCACGAUGUGAAGGCCUGCUAUGCAUAUCUCUAUGGAAGCUGCUGACCAUCUGAUGCUAUGGGCUAGAGGAACUGGACAAGAGCAGCAGUGUUUGAUUUAAAGCGACAGUCUCCUAACUAAUGACACGCUCCCCAGAGAAGCCUGCAUUUUCUUCUGCUGUUCUGCCUUGUUGUGAAAAACAUUAGAAAAAAGAUGGAACAAGAAUACAGCACACAGGGUGCAGUUUUAAGCAGCUGUUCACUUUCAGACAACCCCCACCCAAACUCCAGACUCCAUAUCCCUGCUUAGUGGAAAAGGUCCUGAGGAUCAGUGGCUAAAAAAACAAAGAAAAGAUUCUGAGUGAAUAGUAAUCAGAUUGUGCUGAUAGAUUUUGUGAUUUUAGCUUAAUUUCCAAGCCAAAUAAAUAAUAUGUGUAUGAUGAAGUAAUGCUCAUCUAGAGUCAUUAACUGUACUUGCCAAGCAUCUUGCUCGUGUUUUUGAGACACCUUCCAGCCAGGAGUUUAAUCAAAUGGAAUCUUUUAUUGUGUGUUUUGUAUUAAAUCUUUCUUUUGUUUUGGGUGAAAAAAUAAUAUAACAUUUUAACUUUUUGCGUAUGAGGCAUAGCUGUUUAUGAUUCUACACAAACUCUGUGCAACAAUAUAGUUUUCAAGAUUUAAUCUAA